GUAGUACUCCCUCCGUCCCNNNNNUCUUGUCUUACAUUUGUCUAGAUAUGAAUGUAUCUAGUCAUAUUUUAUUAUUUAGAUACAUCCAUUUUUAAACAAACCAAAGUCAAGUAUUUUGGGACGGAGGAAGUAUAUG
rfam:Hordeum vulgare subsp. vulgare, WGS project CAJW01000000 data, contig: morex_contig_140236